CCUACGGGAGGCAGCAGUGAGGAAUAUUGGUCAAUGGACGAGAGUCUGAACCAGCCAAGUAGCGUGAAGGAUGACUGCCCUAUGGGUUGUAAACUUCUUUUAUAUGGGAAUAAAAUGUGCCACGUGUGGGCUUUUGUAUGUAACAUAUGAAUAAGGAUCGGCUAACUCCGUGCCAGCAGCCGCGGUAAUACGGAGGAUCCGGGCGUUAUUCGGAUUUAUUGGGUUUAAAGGGUGCGUAGGGGGAUUGUUAAGUCAGUGGUGAAAGUUUGCGGCUCAACCGGAAAAUUGCAGUUGAAACUGGCAGUCUUGAGUACAGUAGAGGUGGGCGGAAUUCGUGGUGUAGCGGUGAAAUGCUUAGAUAUCACGAAGAACUCCGAUUGCGAAGGUAGCUCACUGGACUGCAACGGACACUGAGGCUCGAAAGUGUGGGUAUCAAACAGGAUUAGAUACCCCUGUAGUC
rnacentral:rRNA from 1 species